UGGCCUCAAAUCAGGUAGGAUUACCCGCUGAAUUUAAGCAUA
rnacentral:rRNA from 1 species